CACAGCAUUCUGGACUCAUUCUUUCUGAAAUCUGGUUUCAUUGAGACCACAGUUAAUCCAGAGUCACUGCAUGGAAAGACAAGGAGUGACUCCAGAUGGACAGUGGGGCAAAUGAGAUCAGCAAUUCUCCCUGUGAGGAGGGGCUCUCAUUAGCUGCUCUCCCCAGAGAGCUAAAGGAGGGAAGGCAACUCAAUCGCUCUGUUCCUCUCUGCUCAUGAUAUUGGGGUUCAGCUUCCUGGGUCAGACGCUGCAGCCUCCAUUGUGAUCUGGGAGACCAGACUUAGCAGCUGCUGCUCCCACAGCAGGGUUCUGUGCUGGGAAGUGACCUUUUAACUAAAGCUUCUUCUCUGCCCGGACCAGGUGAUGACUUUCUCCAGCUGGUACUAGCCCCCUGGGCCCUGUUAAUACUAAAUUCUGAGCCAGAGACUCCAGACAGGCUGCAGAAUGAUGUCCAUGUUUCGCUCCAGCUCAUCCCAUCUUCCCAUGGGAUAGGGAAGAGAAAUUGCUGCAGUGGAGCCAGUUCAGAGGCCGGUGACCUUCGAGGAGGUGGCUGUG